GACGAACGCUGGCGGCGUGCUUAACACAUGCAAGUCGAACGAGAAAGCCCUUCGGGGUGAGUACAGUGGCGAACGGGUGAGUAACACGUGGGCAACCUGCCCCAGAGAGCGGGACAACCCGGGGAAACCCGGGCUAAUACCGCAUGAUGCGUCUCCGCAUAAGCGGAGCCGCCAAAAGGUAGCUUCGGCCUCCGCUCUGGGAUGGGCCCGCGCCGGAUUAGCUAGUUGGUUGGGGUAAUGGCCCACCAAGGCGACGAUCCGUAGCUGGUCUGAGAGGACGAUCAGCCACACUGGGACUGAGACACGGCCCAGACUCCUACAGGAGGCAGCAGUGGGGAAUCUUGCGCAAUGGGCGAAAGCCUGACGCAGCAACGCCGCGUGAGGGAAGAAGGCCUUCGGGUUGUAAACCUCUUUCAGUAGGGACGAAGCUUCCGGGGUUAAUAGCCUACGGGGUGACGGUACCUACAGAAGAAGCCCCGGCUAACUACGUG
rnacentral:rRNA from 1 species